UGGGGAAUAUUGCACAAUGGGCGCAAGCCUGAUGCAGCCAUGCCGCGUGUAUGAAGAAGGCCUUCGGGUUGUAAAGUACUUUCAGCGGGGAGGAAGGGAGUAAAGUUAAUACCUUUGCUCAUUGACGUUACCCGCAGAAGAAGCACCGGCUAACUCCGUGCCAGCAGCCGCGGUAAUACGGAGGGUGCAAGCGUUAAUCGGAAUUACUGGGCGUAAAGCGCACGCAGGCGGUUUGUUAAGUCAGAUGUGAAAUCCCCGGGCUCAACCUGGGAACUGCAUCUGAUACUGGCAAGCUUGAGUCUCGUAGAGGGGGGUAGAAUUCCAGGUGUAGCGGUGAACUGCGUAGAGAUCUGGAGGAAUACCGGUGGCGAAGGCGGCCCCCUGGACGAAGACUGACGCUCAGGUGCGAAAGCGUGGGGAGCAAACAGG
rnacentral:rRNA from 2 species